rnacentral:lncRNA from 1 species
GUUUUGUUUUAUUCUCUCAUAGUGAAGCUUGCAUGUCCCGUAGAGGUAGGCUUGAGGCUGUUCCAUGUAUUUGUAUUGUGUUUCUUAUUUUGUUUCUUCUUUCUUCUUGCUGUACCGUGUGGUACCGAAUCCUGCACAACACUUAGAUGGUUUUGACAUAUACAACAUAGGAUGAGGGAUACACUAGUAUGAAAAAGUAUUUGAUACAUGUACUAUGAAAGAGGGGUAAAGGUAGGCUGAAAAUCACAUAGGAUGAACUAGUAAGGAAGGACUUGGUAUUGCUAUAUAUUUCAAAUAGUGUGGCUCUAAACAGAGCGGAAUGGAGGAA